rnacentral:rRNA from 1 species
ACGUAGGUGGCAAGCGUUGUCCGGAAUUAUUGGGCGUAAAGCGCGCGCAGGUGGUUUAAUAAGUCUGAUGUGAAAGCCCACGGCUCAACCGUGGAGGGUCAUUGGAAACUGUUAAACUUGAGUGCAGGAGAGAAAAGUGGAAUUCCUAGUGGAGCGGUUAAAGGCGUAGAGAUUAGGAGGAACACCAGUGGCGUAGGCAGCUUUCUGGCCUGUAACUGACGCUGAGGCGCGAAAGCGUGGGGAUCAAGCAG